UCAAGCUACUAAGGGCAUACGGUGGAUGCCUUGGCACUAAGAGCCGAUGAAGGACGCGGUAAGCUGCGAAAAGCCACGGGGAACUGCAAGCAAGUCUUGAUCCGUGGAUGUCCGAAUGGGGAAACCCACCAUCCGUCAUGGGAUGGUAUCCUACGGGAGGGGAACCCGGUGAACUGAAACAUCUAAGUAGCCGGAGGAAGAGAAAUCAAACGAGAUGCCCACAGUAGCGGCGAGCGAAGAGGGCAGAGCCUAAACCAGUCAUCUUCGGAUGGUUGGGGUUACGGACCUGCAUCAACCGAGUCCUACCUAGUCGAAUUACCUGGAAAGGUAAGCCAGAGAGCGUAAGAGCCGCGUAGGUGAAAGGAAGGACGAGGGGGCAGGGAUCCAGAGUACCACGAAGCACGAGGAAUUUUGUGGGAAGUCGGGGGGACCACCCUCCAAGGCUAAACACUUCUUAGUGACCGAUAGCGCAUAGUACCGUGAGGGAAAGGUGAAAAGAACCGCGGGAGCGGAGUGAAAGAGAACCUGAAACCGUAUGUCUACAAGCAGUCGGAGCGCAAGCGACGGCGUGCCUAUUGAAGAAUGAGCCAACGAGUUACGGGCACCAGCGAGGUUAAGCAGGAAAUGCGGAGCCGGAGCGAAAGCGAGUCUAAACAGGGCGAAUAGUUGGUGUUCGUAGACCCGAAACUGUAGUGAUCUACCCAUGAUCAGGUUGAAGCGCAGGUAAAAAUGCGUGGAGGACCGAACCGGUGAGCGUUGAAAAGCUUUCGGAUGAAUCGUGGGUAGCGGUGAAAUUCCAAUCGAACGCAGAGAUAGCUGGUUCUCCUCGAAAUAGCUUUAGGGCUAGCCUCAAGCAGUAAGCAUAGGCGGUAGAGCACUGAUCGGGAUAGGGUCCGUAAAGGAUACCGAACCCUGUCAAACUACGAAUGGUUAUGCUGCAGAGCUUGGGAGUCAGACUACGAGAGAUAAGUCCCGUUGUCAAAAGGGAAACAGCCCAGACCGUCAGCUAAGGUCCCCAAUGCCAUACUAAGUGGAAAAGGAUGUGGGGUCUCAUAAACAACCAGGAUGUUGGCUCAGAAGCAGCCACCAUUUAAAGAGUGCGUAAUAGCUCACUGGUCGAGAGGCCCUGCGCCGAAGAUUCCCGGGGCUAAAGUAUGGAACCGAAGCUACGGAUGCGGUACUUGUACCGCGUGGUAGAGGAGCGUUCCCAUUGGGUUGAAGUCGUCCUGGAAGGGACGGUGGACUGGUGGGAAGUGAGAAUGUUGGCAUGAGUAGCGAAAAGAUAGGUGAGAAUCCUAUCCACCGAAAGCAUAAGGAUUCCUGAGCAACGAUCGUCGUCUCAGGGUAAGUCGGGACCUAAUCCGAGGCAUGGAGCGUAGGAGAUGGACAACUGGUUGAUAUUCCAGUACCGGCAGCAAUCGUUUGAACGAUGGAGUGACGCAGGAAGGCAGGUCCGCGCGAGAAUGGUAGAUCGCGUACAAGCGUGCAGGCUGGUGCACAGGCAAAUCCGUGUACUGAGGCUGAGGCGUGAUGUGGAGGGAACUUGUUCCCGAAGGGAUUGAGCCUACGCUGCCGAGAAAAGCUUCUAGUGAGAGAGCUGCCGCCCGUACCGUAAACCGACACAGGUAUGCGGGGAGAGAAUCCUAAGGUGCGCGGGAGAACCCUCGUUAAGGAACUCGGCAAAAUGUACCCGUAACUUCGGGAUAAGGGUAGCCGCUGUUGUGAAGUCUGAACAGACGGAGCAUGAGGCGGUCGCAGAGAAGAGGCCCAAGCGACUGUUUACCACAAACACAGGUGCCUGCUAAAGAGAAAUCUGACGUAUAGGUGCUGACACCUGCCCAGUGCCGGAAGGUUAAGGAAGGAUGUCCGGAGCAAUCCAAAGCAUUCGACCGAAGCCCCGGUGAACGGCGGCCGUAACUAUAACGGUCCUAAGGUAGCGAAAUUCCUUGUCGGGUAAG
rnacentral:rRNA from 1 species